rnacentral:rRNA from 1 species
GAUUAACGCUGGCGGCGUGCAUAACACAUGCAAGUCGAACGAUGAAACUUAAAUGAUUUCUUCGGAAUGAACUUAAGUGGAUUAGUGGCGGACGGGUGAGUAACGCGUGAGUAACCUGCCUUACACAAGGGGAUAGCCGUUGGAAACGACGAAUAAUACCCUAUGAAACUAUCACUUCGCAUGAAGCGAUAGUCAAAGUGUUAGCGGUGUAAGAUGGACUUGCGUCUGAUUAGCUAGUUGGUGAGAAAAAAGCCCACCAAGGCAACGAUCAGUAGCCGGCUUGAGAGAGUGUACGGCCACAUUGGGACUGAGGCACGGCCCAGACUCCUACGGGAGGCAGCAGUGGGGAAUUUUGCACAAUGGGGGAAACCCUGAUGCAGCGACGCCGCGUGAUUUAGAAGGCCUUCGGGUUGUAAAAAUCUUUUGUAUAGGAAGAAAAUGACAGUACUAUACGAAUAAGGGCCGGCUAAUUACGUG